UAUUGAGACAUCUUCUCUUGUCAACUGGUCAAGUUUCAGCGAAGGUUGUCAAAAUGGUUCGUCGGGAGACGCUUCAAACGUUCCUGACGCUCUGCCUCUGCUUGGUGAACAUCGAUGCCGCUCCAGUGGAUGUGCAUCGCCGAGCAGACGGAUCCGUUUUGAUAGACGACAUCCUGUAUUCUGCGGAGCAAUGGGACAGUUUUCUUGAUAAAAACUUGGUAUCAAUGGAAAGGCUUUGGCCGAAAAAGGACGGAGUUGUGAAUAUUUUCUACAAAAUAU
rnacentral:lncRNA from 1 species